UGGGGAAUAUUGGACAAUGGAGGCAACUCUAUCCAGCAAUGCCGCGUGUGUGAUGAAGGCCUUAGGGUUGUAAAGCACCUUUCACGGUGAAGAUGAUGACGGUACCGUAGAAGAAGCCCCGGCUAACUUUCGUCCAGCAGCCGCGGUAAUACGGAGGGUGCAAGCGUUGUCCGGAUUUAUUGGGUUUAAAGGGUACGUAGCGGCCAAUUAAGUCAGUGGUGAAAGCCAGCAGCUCAACUGUUGAACUGCCAUUGAUACUGAUUGGCUCGAGUUCUGUUAAGGUAGGCGGAAUUGAUGGUGUAGCGGUGAAAUGCAUAGAUACCAUCAGGAACACCGAUUGCGAAGGCAGCUUACUAGGCAGAAACUGACGCUAAUGUACGAAAGCGUGGGGAUCGAACAGGAUUAGAUACCCUGGUAGUCCACGCCGUAAACGAUGCUCACUCGCUGUUGGCGAUACACAGUCAGCGGCCAAGCGAAAGCGUUAAGUGAGCCACCUGGGGAUUACGCUCGCAAGAGUG
rnacentral:rRNA from 1 species